GUCCCUAUCUACUAUCUAGCGAAACCACAGCCAAGGGAACGGGCUUGGAAUCAUUAGCGGGGAAAGAAGACCCUGUUGAGCUUGACUCUAGUUUGGCACUGUAAGAAGACAUAAGAGGUGUAGCAUAAGUGGGAGAUAGGCUUGCUUAUCAACAAUGAAAUACCACUACUUUUAUCGUUUUCUUACUUACUUGAUUAAAUGGAGAAUGCACUUUCAUUCAUACCAUAUUUGUAUUGUGACUCUGUCAUCUUUACACUUAUGAUUAUGAUGAUCUUGUGCACUUUUCUCGAUCCAAGUGUCAUGAACCGUUGGUACGUUUGUAUGUCUUUGGUGUUUACAUUAGAGGCAGAGUAUUAACAUUUUAUGGUUAAGACACGAUCCAAGUCAGGGACACUGCCAGGUGGGGAGUUUGACUGGGGCGGUACAUCUCUAAAACAAUA
rnacentral:rRNA from 1 species